AUAAAACCGUAAAAGAGAAAGGCACCAAUGAUCUAAACCGUUUUCUUGGCUUGGUCAUUUCUAACGUUAAUUUAUUUAGUUCAGUAGUGUCCCUUCCAGCGAGCUUAAUGGUUAUCAUGUAACAAAGCUGUUGAAAUGUGGCGUGGCCCUGGCUGGUUAGGAAAAUGUAGAUUACCGAGUAGUAGUAGGUUAACGAAAAAUUGUGGAGUGGAUAGUGUACACAACGUUCCACGCCGAAGUUUUGAUAUUUCGUCAUAUCUAAAACUUGAUUGGAAUAAUGCAACAUACACAUAGAUUUCAACGCGGCCGAUCGUACAUACAUUCGCAUCGUGCCGCCGCCACCGAUAAAUCCGAUUUCUUACUGUGGCGCUGAAAAAUCAUCCAAAAUUGACGCCGCCACCAAAUGGAUUGGCAUUGGCCUUUGAUACAUAUUUGUGUGGCUGACUUAUGUGAUAGGAAACCACAAUGGGGUCGGAUGUCCAUAUUGAUUCGAAUUCAACUUGGCAAAUCAACCAUAACUCAGAUUUUUGGACACCACUUUCACCUGCUAAGAGUUUUAGCGUCCCUGCCGGCGAGCUUAACGGUCAUCAUGUAACAGAGCUGGCAAAAGGUUUGCGGCAUGGCGUGUCAAGAAAAUGAUCCUCUGUCGUGGUAAAAUUUGAAGAAGCUAACAGCAAAAUGAAGUUUCCACGAUGUUUCAAUAUUUGAUCAGGUCAAAAACUUGAUUGGAAUCGUGCAACAUUGUUGUAGGCAAAUUGCUGACUUACAUGUUCUCAAGUUUAUUUGGAUUGACAGGAAACCGGAAUGGAGUCUGAUCCGAGGUACAUGUUUAUUACAAAUUCAAAUUGGCCCAGCAGCAAUUACACCGACUUCUCGACAUCACCUUCAAAAAGUUUGUAAAGUGAUUGGAGUUCAUCUUUAAGUUAAUUGCUGCUCAGCAUCUUCAGGUUGAUUAUUAAUAAUAAUUUAGAUUAGAGGAUGGUUCAGUACUAGGAGCAAAUAAUUGUUUAUUUUCGUCCUUAAAAAACGCCCAUACUCUUACAUAUUUACUUACAAUCAGAUUCCAAUUAGUUGACAAAUAUGUAAGUUUAUUUUAUUAACGGAAAUGUAUUUAUUUAGAAAUUUUUGACAUAAAAUGUGACGGAGUUUUUUUUAAUCCGGUCUUGCGUAAAUGCGUAAUAUCAAAAA